UACGAAGGGGGCGAACGUUGAUCGGAAUCACUGGGCGUAAAGGGUGCGUAGGCGGGUUGUCAAGUCUGCUGUGAAAGCCCGGGGCUCAACCGGGGAACGGCAGUGGAUACUGACCGGCUCGAGGGCGGGAGAGGCUAGUGGAACUCCCGGUGUAGCAGUGAAAUGCGUUGAGAUCGGGAAGAACACCCAUGGCGAAGGCAGCGGGCUGGGCGGCUUCUGACGCUGAGGCACGAAAGCGUGGGGAGCAAACAGG
rnacentral:rRNA from 1 species